CCUACGGGUGGCAGCAGUGAGGAAUAUUGGUCAAUGGGCGUAAGCCUGAACCAGCCAAGUCGCGUGAGGGAUGAAGGUUCUAUGGAUCGUAAACCUCUUUUAUAAGGGAGUAAAGUGCGGGACGUGUCCCGUUUUGUCUGUACCUUAUGAAUAAGGAUCGGCUAACUCCGUGCCAGCAGCCGCGGUAAUACGGAGGAUCCGAGCGUUAUCCGGAUUUAUUGGGUUUAAGGGGUGCGUAGGCGGCCUUUUAAGGCCGCGGUGAAAGGCCGGGGCUCAACCAUGGAAUUGCCGUGGAAACUGGGAGGCUGGAGUAGGUUAGAGGCAGGCGGAAUGCGUGGUGUAGCGGUGAAAUGCUUAGAUAUCACGCAGAACCCCGAUUGCGAAGGCAGCCUGCCAGGCCAUGACUGACGCUGAUGCACGAAAGCGUGGGGAUCAAACAGGAUUAGAUACCCUGGUAGUC
rnacentral:rRNA from 1 species